GACGAACGCUGGCGGCGUGCCUAAUACAUGCAAGUCGAACGCUUCUUUCCUCCCGAGUGCUUGCACUCAAUUGGAAAGAGGAGUGGCGGACGGGUGAGUAACACGUGGGUAACCUACCCAUCAGAGGGGGAUAACACUUGGAAACAGGUGCUAAUACCGCAUAACAGUUUAUGCCGCAUGGCAUAAGAGUGAAAGGCGCUUUCGGGUGUCGCUGAUGGUUGGACCCGCGGUGCAUUAGCUAGUUGGUGAGGUAACGGCUCACCAAGGCCACGAUGCAUAGCCGACCUGAGAGGGUGAUCGGCCACACUGGGACUGAGACACGGCCCAGACUCCUACGGGAGGCAGCAGUAGGGAAUCUUCGGCAAUGGACGAAAGUCUGACCGAGCAACGCCGCGUGAGUGAAGAAGGUUUUCGGAUCGUAAAACUCUGUUGUUAGAGAAGAACAAGGACGUUAGUAACUGAACGUCCCCUGACGGUACCUAAACAGAAAGCCACGGCUAACUACGUG
rnacentral:rRNA from 1 species